rnacentral:lncRNA from 1 species
CCCAUCACCCACCCAGAUCAAACCAUAGUCGUUUAGAAAGCGCUGUAGGAGAUAGACCAGCCGAGUUCACAAUCGGGUAAUCGCAGAAUAAAGUUAUUGAUGAAAAAAAUACCAACUCACCUCCAUUUCAUGCACUUGAUUCUCGAGUUGUUGACACCUUAUUUCAAGAUCAAGUUUGUUGCUCAGAUCAUGUGUACUCCCUAAAUGCGGAAACAUCAAAGUCAAAAAUAAUUUCCUCUGCGUUAUCUUUUCUUGCCAUUCUCAGGUCUGCACAUGUUGAAGGUAAUUACCAGAUUCUUUUUGAGUUUUCAGCAUCUCUUCCAAAACAGAGAUCUUCUUAUUCUUUGGAAGAACAGAGGAAAUGAACCAGUCAUCCGCUGCAUCAUGGCAGACAUGAGUUCAAAGUCACUUGGUGCAGCACCUGAUUAUCACAGUGAGAGUCAGCUCUUCUUCUUUUUUUUUAUAAUUGCAAAUAAGAAAAGCUGUGUUUCACUUUGAAAUAAGUCACUACAUCAAUUUCUACCUUUCUUUAAAGGGGCUUUCGACUUUGAAGUGGAGGCAUCUCUGGCUGGAGUUUGGGAGGAGUGGGUAGGAUUUGAAUCUAAGGAAUAAUCAUCAUCACUGUCAACCAAUGCUGCCUGAAACUCUGCAAUUUACCAAAAAAAGGUGUCACAAAUAUGAUUAUAACACAUUCAUGGUUUAUCUGCUAUGGAUAGCUGGAUUCCUGAAGUGACAAUAUAUGUCAGAGUAGUGCGAUUAUGAGCAGUAUUGUAACUGAAUACCAAAGUACUGUAAUAAAGUGGGUAUAAGUAACUUUUCUGAAAUACACCAGCACAAUCCACCAGAACAGUCCACCAGAACUAUUUUAUUGUUACUUUAAAAAUUAAUAUUUUACCCACAUAACAGUAGAAUGAGGAUCUGAUUUAGUUUUUUCCUGCUCAUUGUCAGUAAUUUUAAUGGUAAUGUUUAUUUUAUUCUGACAUUUGAAAAAGGAAGCUCAGUGAAGGUGUAAUGAACAUGCUGUUCCUCUGUUCUUUUGUAAUCCAUAUUGAAA